rnacentral:rRNA from 1 species
UGGUGGAUUUUGGCCAAUGGGGGCAACCCUGAUCCAGCCAUGCCGCGUGCGGGAAGAAGGCCUUCGGGUUGUAAACCGCUUUUGUCAGGGAAGAAACGCUCUGAGCUAAUACCUCGGAGUAAUGACGGUACCUGAAGAAUAAGCACCGGCUAACUACGUGCCAGCAGCCGCGGUAAUACGUAGGGUGCAAGCGUUAAUCGGAAUUACUGGGCGUAAAGCGUGCGCAGGCGGUGAUGUAAGACAGAUGUGAAAUCCCCGGGCUCAACCUGGGAACUGCAUUUGUGACUGCAUCGCUGGAGUGCGGCAGAGGGGGAUGGAAUUCCGCGUGUAGCAGUGAAAUGCGUAGAUAUGACCUAGAACACCGAAAGCGAAGGCAGCUAACGAAUCUUAUAUUGACGCUAAUGGACGAAAGCGUGGGUAGCGAACA